rnacentral:rRNA from 1 species
ACUCCUACGGGAGGCAGCAGUGGGGAAUAUUGCACAAUGGGCGCAAGCCUGAUGCAGCCAUGCCGCGUGAGUGAUGAAGGCCUUAGGGUCGUAAAGCUCUUUCGCCUGUGAAGAUAAUGACGGUAGCAGGUAAAGAAACCCCGGCUAACUCCGUGCCAGCAGCCGCGGUAAUACGGAGGGGGUUAGCGUUGUUCGGAAUUACUGGGCGUAAAGCGCACGUAGGCGGAUCGGAAAGUUGGGGGGUGAAAUCCCGGGGCUCAACCCCGGAACGGCCUCCAAAACUAUCGGUCUAGAGUUCGAGAGAGGUGAGUGGAAUUCCGAGUGUAGAGGUGAAAUUCGUAGAUAUUCGGAGGAACACCAGUGGCGAAGGCGGCUCACUGGCUCGAUACUGACGCUGAGGUGCGAAAGUGUGGGGAGCAAACAGGAUUAGAUACCCUGGUAGGACAGUG